rnacentral:rRNA from 1 species
UACGGAGGGUGCGAGCGUUGUCCGGAAUCAUUGGGCGUAAAGGGCGCGUAGGCGGCCCGGUCAGUCGAUGGUGAAAGCGCGGGGCUCAACUCCGCGUCGGCCGUCGAUACUGCGGGGCUCGAGCACUGUAGAGGCAGGCGGAAUUCCGGGUGUAGCGGUGGAAUGCGUAGAGAUCCGGAAGAACACCGGUGGCGAAGGCGGCCUGCUGGGCAGUAGCUGACGCUGAGGCGCGACAGCGUGGGGAGCAAACAGG